ACUCUAAAGCUAUCUGGUAGCAUACUCGUAUUUGUUCGCACAGUGUGUCUUGUUGUGGUCUCUCCAACCUAUCAUUCCAACUCUCAAGUACCUAAGAAUCGUAGUAAUGAGUUAAGGUCUACAAAAUGAAUCAUCAACAUCUUUCUAUAGAGGAAAAUUAAAUAGGUACGUAUAUCAUAUACCUACCACAAACAUCCAUGCAUUAAACUAACAACUAAAAUGUUCUAAAAAGUAAAUAUGUCUCUUUAUUCAAGGCAUAUCUAUCACUAUGUAGAAAUGAAGCAUCAAACUAAUAAAGAAAACCCUCUAAAAAGUAAUGUCAAGUGCUGCUUCUUUUGCACCAAAAUUUUGGUGUGAUUCCAGAAAUAUAUAAUAUCAGAUAACAUAUGCCAAGUAAAAGUGCAACAAUUAUCUUAGACUACAUAUUUGUUCCUACAUCCCCAAUAUCUUGAUAACCCUUCUGUCUCGUCAGUAUUUCAUUGAUAAUAACACCGAGACUAUACAAGUGAGCACUGCGUGAAAUUACGCCCCCGUCGACAAGUUCUGGUGCCAAAUAUCCU
rnacentral:lncRNA from 1 species